rnacentral:rRNA from 1 species
CAGCCGCCGCGGGAAUACAGAGGGUGCAAGCGUUAAUCGGAAUUACUGGGCGUAAAGCGCGCGUAGGUGGUUUGUUAAGUUGGAUGUGAAAUCCCCGGGCUCAACCUGGGAACUGCAUCCAAAACUGGCGAGCUAGAGUAGGGCAGAGGGUGGUGGAAUUUCCUGUGUAGCGGUGAAAUGCGUAGAUAUAGGAAGGAACACCAGUGGCGAAGGCGACCACCUGGGCUCAUACUGACACUGAGGUGCGAAAGCGUGGGGAGCAAACAGGAUUAGAUACCCGCGUAGUCCCUGUCUCUUAUAC